AUGCAAGUCGAACGCGUGUAGCAAUACACGAGUGGCGCACGGGUGAGUAACGCGUGGAUAUCUGCCUUUUGGUUCGGAAUAACCCCGGGAAACUGGGGCUAAUACCGGAUGGUUCCUUCGGGAUAAAGAUUUAUCGCCAAAAGAUGAGUCCGCGUACGAUUAGCUAGUUGGUGAGGUAAUGGCUCACCAAGGCGACGAUCGUUAGCUGGUCUGAGAGGACGAUCAGCCACACUGGGACUGAGACACGGCCCAGACUCCUACGGGAGGCAGCAGUGGGGAAUAUUGGACAAUGGGGGCAACCCUGAUCCAGCCAUGCCGCGUGAGUGAUGAAGGCCUUCGGGUUGUAAAGCUCUUUUGGCGGGGACGAUGAUGACGGUACCCGCAGAAUAAGCCCCGGCUAACUUCGUGCCAGCAGCCGCGGUAAGACGAAGGGGGCUAGCGUUGUUCGGAAUUACUGGGCGUAAAGCGCGUGUAGGCGGUUGCCCAAGUCGGGUGUGAAGGCCUUGAGCUCAACUCAAGAAACGCACUCGGUACUGGGUGACUAGAGGACCGGAGAGGAUAGUGGAAUUCCCAGUGUAGUGGUGAAAUACGUAGAGAUUGGGAAGAACACCAGUGGCGAAGGCGGCUAUCUGGACGGUUUCUGACGCUAAGACGCGAAAGCGUGGGGAGCAAACAGGAUUAGAUACCCUG
rnacentral:rRNA from 1 species